rnacentral:rRNA from 1 species
GGUUCCUACGGGGGGCAGCAGUGGGGAAUAUUGCGCAAUGGGCGAAAGCCUGACGCAGCGACGCCGCGUGAGGGAUGAAGGCUUUCGGGUUGUAAACUUCUUUUAAGAGGGAAGAGCAGAAGACGGUACCUCUUGAAUAAGCCACGGCUAACUACGUGCCAGCAGCCGCGGUAAUACGUAGGUGGCAAGCGUUGUCCGGAUUUACUGGGUGUAAAGGGCGUGCAGCCGGGAAGACAAGUCAGAUGUGAAAUCCCGCGGCUCAACCGCGGAACUGCAUUUGAAACUGUUUUUCUUGAGUACCGGAG